GUGAGUCAUGGUCUUAAUCUGUGUUUUCUCUCGCAGAUACUAAAUUGUUACUGUGGCGUCUGCCUCCGGCGCAGCCAGUUAGCUACCAAAGGAGGCACCCCCGUGCCAAGAACGCCCCCUGAGGACCGCUCAGGACACACUUCCGGGGGUGGGAGGGGCGUGUAAGAGUGGAAGCGCAGGCCCCGGGGCUGCAGUGUUGGAGGAGGAGGUCAUCCAGAGGACGUGACCGCUGGUUGACCCAGAGCUGGAUUGGUAAUCAGAAUUUCCCCACCCUUCCGCUCUCCGUGGAAUGUACCUUCCGCCCACCAGUUCCACGGCGGGGGUCUCUUUUCAAGGGCACAGCCUUGAGGGCACAACGUGUUGUUUAGACCAUCUUAGAUGGUAUACGUGGCUGAACCCCGUUAAGGCCUCUAUAAACGGUCCGAUCUUACUGCUGCUGAAGACAAGCCUUGGAAUCUCAAACUGUAUUUUGGGUAAAGCCAAGAAGCCACGGGAGUGAAAGAAUAACGUGUGGGCUCCAAAUGCAUUUCUAAGAUGUCAAGCUUGUUGACUGGAAGCCUGCCUGCCAGAACAAGAUCCUUCUGCGAACACCAGAAACAAUCUGCUAUUGUCUCCUGGGAUGAAACGGUGCCAAUAAAGAACGAAAACUCUGAGCCAAGAGGAGGAAUACCGCAUUAACUGCUUCACCACUAAAAGUAAUUAUGGGAAGGGAGAGACGGGGUAAAACCCUCCCCUUUGUUUUUAGCUUGCAAGGACACACAGAGCACAGAUGUGACCAGAGCAAAGCCUGCUGUGUGUCUUGGCCCAGUGGAGAGAAUGGUUCACUCCUGUGUGUGCACUGGUCAGGGUCAGAGCCCCUGCCUGCCUUCUGAGCACACUUGAUGCUGCCGGUGGAGAAAGCUGGGCACCCCCUUAGUUUCCUUUCCGCUUGGUUGUCUUGGUUCCAGAAGCUGUUACCACAGGGACAGGCCUGUGCUGGGGCUUAGGGGGAGGGUGGGGGGAGUGCGCAUAGCUUUAAGGGCACCUUAAGAGAAGAGGAUAAAAUGCAUUAUCCAUGGAGGGAAUCUGGGAAGAAGAAACGAGAGGGAAUAGACCAAAGAAAAUAAAUUGAAUUAGGUAAUGGGGAGGCUUAUCUUGUUUUUUUUCUAAUUGUUUUAUUAAUUUUUUUAAAUGUUUAUUUUUGAGAGACAGAGGAGAGAGAGACAGAGCACAAGUGGGGGAGGGGCAGAGAGAGAGGGAGACACAGAAUCCAAAGCAGGCUCCAGGCUAUGAGCUGUUAGCCCAGAGCCUGACGCGGGGCUCAAACCCAUGAACUGUGAGAUGGUGACCUGAGCCAAAGUCGGCCGCUUAACCAACCGAGUCACCCGGGUGCCCCAGGCUUGUCUUAGUUUUAUUAAUUCUUUGAUUUGUGACUGA